CCUACGGGAGGCUGCAGUCGGGAAUAUUGCGCAAUGGAGGAAACUCUGACGCAGUGACGCCGCGUGCAGGAAGAAGGUUUUCGGAUUGUAAACUGCUUUAGACAGGGAAGAAAAAAGACAGUACCUGUAGAAUAAGCUCCGGCUAACUACGUGCCAGCAGCCGCGGUAAUACGUAGGGAGCAAGCGUUAUCCGGAUUUAUUGGGUGUAAAGGGUGCGUAGACGGAGAAGCAAGUCAGAUGUGAAAACCAUGGGCUCAACCUGUGGCCUGCAUUUGAAACUGUUUUUCUUGAGUACUGGAGAGGCAGACGGAAUUCCUAGUGUAGCGGUGAAAUGCGUAGAUAUUAGGAGGAACACCAGUGGCGAAGGCGGUCUGCUGGACAGCAACUGACGCUGAGGCGCGAAAGCGUGGGGAGCAAACAGGAUUAGAUACCCUAGUAGUC
rnacentral:rRNA from 1 species